AGCACGCCACUGCUGACCGAGCAGCCUUAGACGUCACUCCUGGGUUACCUGUGGCAGGUGUCUAUGAUAAGGAGAGCACAGUGAAACAGACAGGCUUCGAGGGAGGUUCCCAGCUUGCUUCCCCAGGGUUCUAACGCACUUCUCUGCCUCUCUGUGAGGGAGUACACUUUGCUGCUUUUCCUCAUUCGCCCUACCCACUCUUUGGCCUCUCAUCUCCACUGUGGGGUUUCUUCCCAGGCACACUUCUGUUACUGCCUUCUCUGUUUCCGUUUCUGUGUCGAUUUACUCCUCUGUAUCCCUCUGUGUCUGUGAUCCAAAGAGAGAGGAAGGUCAGUGGGUGUGGCACUCACUGGCCAAUGUCGGAGCACCCAGAGGGCCUUGGGCAUGGAUCUCUCGUUCAAUCACUUGUGGCCCGAGUGACAGGAUCAUAGGACAGACAGUACCCAGGUUACGCAUCAGGACAAUCAAGUGUGGAGGCCUGCCCAUGUCUUUCAGAGCAACCUAUAGCUUUUUGUGACCCACGCAGUCAAAGGUUUUACUGGAGUCUGCAUAGAACAUAGACUACCCUUCUUCUGAAAUUCUUUGGAGCAUUCCUGUAGCCAAUGAACAAUUGCAAUUAGAUCUCACGUGCCUCUCCCUUGCUGAAACCCGGAGUGGGCAUCAGGCAUUUUCUGCUCCAUAUAAGGUAAGGGCCUUUGCUGCAGCACCUUGAGCAUCACUUUACUUGCAU
rnacentral:lncRNA from 1 species